rnacentral:piRNA from 1 species
UUGACUUCUGUUAAAUCCUGUACUGAUCAA